rnacentral:sRNA from 1 species
UGUUGAUGGUCAUCCGCUCGAAGGCACUUCAUGAUCGACGGACGGAUGGCUUUGUCGGUGUUCGUUGUUGUUCGUUGCUGUUCGUUGUUGAAGACCCAUAUUGGACGAAAUCGACAGAAACACAGAAACAGCCGAGAAACAAUACACAAAAUAAUAUGCAUCACACCAUCAACUAUGAAGAGGCUUCAACUGAUCGUAAUACUACGCUACCGAAUAUAGAGGGUAUGCACGUCUUGCUGGUUCCAGUACUUAAAGGAUGGCAAGGAGACCGCCGAGGAGCGAGUCAAGGAUGACACCAACAUCAAUGAGAAGGGCCUUGACGAGGUAGAGGACGCCGGCGAGAAUAGCGUCAACCCCCUUAAGGAUGAGACUCAGAGCAACAUCAAGCUGGUUAACAAGGUUGGAGACGCCAGGAAUGUUGAUGAAUUGCCUGGGGAUCUGCUGGACGAUGCCGACAUUAACGGUCUGAACAACGUUAGAGAGGGCCUGAGCAACGGCCUCCUUAUCAUCGUCACGGCUGUAAAACAAGGUUAAUGUAAGGGCAAUGACUACCAGAGUGAAAAGACCUACGCAAUAAUCUCACGACGCAAGUAAUGGAUGCUGGCGCCGGCAUUGGCGCUGGCGCUGGCGGAAACAUCAAUACCGAGCUGGCCACCGCACCAAUGGAAGGCGUCAAUGACAGUGUUGAGGCAGGCCUCAACAUCGGCUUGAGAAUAACGGGGCAUGGCGGCAGCAGCAUUCUGUUAAGCUCAUCAGCAAGAACAAACUGAGCCGACCGGAUCAUGACGUACAACCCUAGACUGGACCUCAUUGACGACAGAGAGGACGUUAACCUCCUUCUUGACCAAGUCGGGGGCAGAAGCGAUGGAGUCCUUCUCAGCGAAGGGCGCAGCGAAGACAGAGCCGACAAGCGGAAGAGCGGCAAUGAUGAUAGAAGUAAAACGCAUCCUGACAAUAGUUGAUGUAGUGGCUAUAGAACACAAAUAUUU